CGCUUCUUUCCUCCCGAGUGCUUGCACUCAAUUGGAAAGAGGAGUGGCGGACGGGUGAGUAACACGUGGGUAACCUACCCAUCAGAGGGGGAUAACACUUGGAAACAGGUGCUAAUACCGCAUAACAGUUUAUGUCGCAUGGCAUAAGAGUGAAAGGCGCUUUCGGGUGUCGCUGAUGGAUGGACCCGCGGUGCAUUAGCUAGUUGGUGAGGUAACGGCUCACCAAGGCCACGAUGCAUAGCCGACCUGAGAGGGUGAUCGGCCACACUGGGACUGAGACACGGCCCAGACUCCUACGGGAGGCAGCAGUAGGGAAUCUUCGGCAAUAGACGAAAGUCUGACCGAGCAACGCCGCGUGAGUGAAGAAGGUUUUCGGAUCGUAAAACUCUGUUGUUAGAGAAGAACAAGGACGUUAGUAACUGAACGUCCCCUGACGGUAUCUAACCAGAAAGCCACGGCUAACUACGUGCCAGCAGCCGCGGUAAUACGUAGGUGGCAAGCGUUGUCCGGAUUUAUUGGGCGUAAAGCGAGCGCAGGCGGUUUCUUAAGUCUGAUGUGAAAGCCCCCGGCUCAACCGGGGAGGGUCAUUGGAAACUGGGAGACUUGAGUGCAGAAGAGGAGAGUGGAAUUCCAUGUGUAGCGGUGAAAUGCGUAGAUAUAUGGAGGAACACCAGUGGCGAAGGCGGCUCUCUGGUCUGUAACUGACGCUGAGG
rnacentral:rRNA from 1 species